UACGGAGGAUGCGAGCGUUAUCCGGAUUUAUUGGGUUUAAAGGGUGCGUAGGCGGGCUUUUAAGUCAGCGGUAAAAAUUCGGGGCUCAACCCCGUCCGGCCGUUGAAACUGGGGGUCUUGAGUGGGCGAGAAGAAGGCGGAAUGCGUGGUGUAGCGGUGAAAUGCAUAGACAUCACGCAGAACCCCGAUUGCGAAGGCAGCCUUCCGGCGCCCUACUGACGCUGAGGCACGAAAGUGCGGGGAUCGAACAGG
rnacentral:rRNA from 1 species